rnacentral:lncRNA from 1 species
GUGUGUCCUCUCUUUGUUAAUUUUUUUUCUUUUUCUCUACCUUUCUACCAGUGGUCAAAGAAGGAGGAGACUCAACAGCUGUUUCUUUCUCCCUUCAUUUUUCCAACAAAGAAGCUUCAUGAGAACAUUAACACCGAAAGAAAAUUGUGUUCACUGCAGGACUUUUCAAGGAUCGGUGGAAAGAUUUAUGUAAACAAAUUAUUCAGUUCUUCCUUUGGUGACCUUGGUCCUAAGAGUGAAUGAGAUGAUCCUAUGGCUUUUUGCCCUUUCCUCAAUACAGAAGCUGCAGACUGCGCUCAGCAAGACCUCACCAAAUGGAGGAAAAUUAAAGAGAGAAAUGGUCCAUGGUGUAUUCUUAACCGCCAUAAAUUGGCGUCAUUUUGGCCACCAUCCAGGAGAGAGACACCAGCCUACAGAAACAGAGAAAGAAGAUCAGAAGCCGAUGGAAGGAAGGGAGAUGCGACUUCGCUGGGGAAGAGAGGACUAUCCUCUGCUCCCAUCGCUCACUCACUGAACAACAUUACCCAGCACCUACGUUGAGUGGAAUAAGGCGGGCCACUGUCUUCCAAAGCUUUUAGCGUCAGCCUCCAUGAACAGUGGCUCGACAUCUCUGCAGCAUCAGCCCAGAUGUUGGCUUCUGCCCCAACCAAAGCAUGAUGACCAGGAAGGUGACAUGUCCCCAGCCAGCCAGUCACCACCAGGACCUGCUGCUCCCUCCUUUAUUACUAGGGCUCUGGGGGUGUGGGGGCGGGGUGUGGAAAAUCAGCAAACCUGACUGGUUCAAAUGGAUUUCCACUCUUUACAUUCAAGCAUUUUGGGUUUGAGGAAACCCCAAACAUUUUGAGCCCUGGGCACUUUUUCCAUUAAUUUUUUAAACUGAUGUGUAUGUCAAGGGAAAUUUAAUACGUCGGUUUCUGAUUCAUUUACACUUAACUCUUCAAAAUAUUGUUCUGUAAGAGGCAUUCGGUGUCCAAGAAAUCUUAAGAGCCUUUUUAUAAGCUUUUAAACUUCUUUUAAAUGUUUAAGAAACAGAAGUUGCAGUCUCCCCAAUGUAAACAGGAGGGAAUCCCUGGUGGCAGGGAGGGAAGAAAGGAGGGAGGAGGGAGGUGGAAGGAAGGCGCCCAGACAUACUGACCUCAGUCCCUGAGGGACACCAGCCCAGGCCCGGUGCUCGCAACCCCCUCCUGGUGCUCCAUGCCUCACCCACAGUCGGGGGAACAAUUGCUUCCACCUUCUUGAAUCCUGAAGGCAAAGGCAAACUCUUGUAGGGGUCCCGCUGUUGGCAGAGAAAGCUCCCAAGUGUUCUCUGCAGAAGAAGGCUACAGACUCCAAGAUUUUACUUCCAGGCAAGACCCUUUUUUUCCCUUCAAAGAAAGUGCUCAUAAUGUGUCCUUUCAUUUAUAAUUUUAUGAACGUCUCAAUUGAACAUGUAAAGAAAGUGGAAAAAUUCGAAGUUGCCAUGGAUGUUUGGCAUUCUUCCUCACUCUGCUAAAAUCUACUUUCUCCCCCAAGCGAAAUGGUUUCAGAGAUUCCCAUAAAAGGGGGAGGAGAGCAGUGAGGGCGGCCGUCUGGAAUCAGGGUCUUCAUGAAAAUACAUUUGUAUUUUAAUUAUAUGAGUAUGAUCUGCUUAGGUUUUCACCCUAUUUCACUUGGCUUUCUAUGUUAAAAGCAAGCGUUACAUUUCAUAAUGCCCGUAACUUCCGUAAACAGGCACUCGUGUAUUUUAUCUUGUUUUGCCAACUGGCUCUACCAAGCGGUAGAUGUUGUAGAAUCCAGCAUCUUUUGUACAGUUUCAUUUGUUUGUUGCGUAUUGUUUUUAUUUUUCCACUUUUCUAAAAAAGAGAGAGAGAGAGAGAGAAAACUCAGAAUAGAAGAAUUCUCAGUGAUAAAAAUUUUGUUCUGUUUUUGGAUUUUUUUAAAAUUCUCAUAGUUUCUAGGAAAUAACAGAAAGCAUUCAUAUUCAGAAAAGGAAAAAUGUUAGCACUUCUCUUGAGAUUCACCAAAUAUAUUAAGUGAGCUUUGUUGUUGUUGGUAUCAGCAAUAUCUGUUUUUCUUCUGCCUUGUUUUAAACAGAUUCAGGCCCUCUGAAAACUGAUGUUUUACUCACAUUGAGAUAUAUUUUCUUUUAUUCUCUUAGGUGAUUUCAGGGGCAGAGACCAAGAUCAUGCAGAUGCUGUAGGAGUUGGUGGUAUUGUAGCGAGUCAACAAAUAAAGGAGGAGAGAGAUUAAGCCAGGCAAAACCCUUAUCACGAGAGUGCAGGAUGAAUGUGUUUUGGGAAUGCCAUGCCUUACCUCGGGCUCCAGUGCCAAUAUAGAUCCUGUGUGCUCAUCCUUUGCAAGGACCUUUCUAACAGAACCUCUUAGGGGAAACCUGGGUGGCUCACCGUUUGGGCAUCUGCCUUUGGCGCUCGGGGCAUGAUCCCAGAGUCCCAGGAUCGAGUCCUGCAUUGGGGUCCCUGCAUGGAGCCUGCUUUUCCCUCUGCCUGUGUCUCUGCCUCUCUCUGUGUGUCUCUCAUGAAUAAAUAAAUAAAAUCUUUUUUUAAAAAAAUAAAUAAUAGAGCCUCUUAGGAUACCUAUUUCUCAACCUGAUCAAAUGCAUGUUGCUGUAUGUAUGUCCAGCCUCAUGGGUAAGGAAUUUCUGACACUUCUGUGCUGUCUGAUGGAUAUAUGGAUAUUUUUGAGGAUAUUGGAUUGAGAAAUUCUUCCAGGAGUUCCAAAAGGAACAUGAAAAACAUCCUUCCAAAAAGCAGAGUGGAUUUCUGGGCACGUUAGGAUAGUUAUCUCUCACUUAUUACUUAAAUGUCUUUCUUUUAAGUAAAAUUUCAAAUAGCAUCAUUAUUUUUAUAGUCCCUCCAAGUAUGCUGUAGUUUAUUGUACUGUUAAAUUUUUGGCGUUCUUCUCACUUUUCUUCUGUUGAGGAAAAGCUAGUAUAAAUUUUGUAUCUUUAUAAUUACUUCUGAAUUUUUAAACUCUUUUGAAUAUGUACAAAGCCUAGGGUGUGCCUCUUACUACGACAAAGUAUCAGUAAUACAAUCACCAAUGUCACAUACUUGCGGCUUGAUUUAUCAGUUGACAAAGGAAAUUCUUGUCAAUGGAGAAACACAUAUGUUCAGCAAGGUUCUCUAUUUACUUAAUUUUGAAUCAAAGUUUCUGUAAAAAGAAAAUUCAACUGAUGUUAAAAGAGCUGACACUUAUUGAAUAAUUACUUUCUGUUAGAUUUGUGAUCAUUCCAUUUAACUGACAAGUGCUCCAUUUCAUACCUGAAAAAACUGUGGUUCUUAAAGAAGUCACUUGAGGGGCACCUGGUGGCUCAGCUGGUUGAGCAUCUGGCUCUUGGUUUUGACUCAAGUCAUGAUCUCAGGGUUGCGGGAUCGAGCCUUGGGUUGUGCUCCAUGCUCAGAGGGGUUUGCUUCUCUCUCCUUCUACCCCUGCACCUUCCCUGUCUAAGAGAAAUUUUAAAAGAUAAAGAAGUCCCUUGAUGCAAAUUAUCAAUUAGACCAAUACAGCUGCUUGCAGUGCCAGGUUAAUUGAUGUUGUCUGGAUAAUCUCUUUAUGAUGUGUUAAUGACCCAGUAUCUGAACAGGGACCUCUGGAUCAAAAACAUGUAACAGAGAUGUUCACAAUUUCUUUGUCAUAGAAUUUUGUUUAAGUUUAUAUGAAUAGCUUUUAUACCCAGAGGCAUGUUUGUUCAGUUUUGUUGUAUAUGUAUAUUUUUAGUUGUUACUUGUUUGCUGAUUCACUUACUCAAGGAAUGCUGACUAUUGGCUUGAUAAGGCAGGAAAUAGAAAGGUAAAAAAGGCCAAAAAAAAAGACUCGAUAAGGGUUUUGCCUGGUUUAAUCUCUCUCCUACUUUAUUUUUUGACUCACUACAAUAUCACCAACUCCUACAGCAUCUGCAUGAUCUUGGUCUUUGCCCCUGAAAUCACCUAAGAGAAUAAAAGAUAAUAUAUCUCAAUGUGAGUAAUACAUCAGUCUUCAGAGGGCCUGAAUCUUUUUAAAACAAGGCAGGAGAAAAACAGAUAUUGCUGAUACCAACAACAACAAAAUUGGCUUUGAGUGUAUAAUCUAGUAGGGGAGAUACAGAGAGAAAUAAUUAGAAAACUAUGUAAGAAGUUCUGAUGUGGGUAUUUUGCAAAAACACUUAGCUUGAUCUGAUGUCUCCUUUCUUCCUUCCUUUCUCUUUCUUUCUUUCUUCCUUCCUUCCUUUCUCUUUCUUUCUUUCUUUCUUUCUUUCUUUCUUUCUUUCUUUCUUUCUUUCUUUCUUUCUUUCUUUCUUUCUUUCUUUCUUUCUUUCUUCUUUCUUUCUUUGGAUUUUAUUUAUUUGAAAAAAGAGCGAGAGAGCGUGCACAUGAGCAGAGGGAGGGGCAGAGGGAGAAGGAGACUCCCUGGCUGGGCUGGGAGCCUGACAUGGGGCCUGAUCCUGGGAUCAUAACCUGACUAGAAAGCAGGCAUCCCCAUCUGAUGACUUGGACAUGAUCUCCUAUUUAGGAAACUAGAAUCCUAUUUUACUUAAAGGGCAAAAGAAUCUUCAUAACAUACAAACACCCCACAGUGAACCUCUUUUCUGCUCUAUAAACUUCACCUGAAGGUAGGUCUUUGAUUUUGCCAUAAAAUAUCAGAUUAGCCCAAAUCAAACUGUGACUCUGAAUUCUGGAAAUAUGCAAAUGAACCAAAUGAUAUGCUUCAUUUUCAGUUCCUUCCUGGCUGUUACCAAGAGAGAGGAUGGAGUCAAUUUUCAAUUCACUUCUAAUUUUAAAGGCUUUAUUUAAACAUUGAAUAUUGUUUUUUCAUUCUAGUUAGAGCUACAAUCCUAAACUUCUCUUAUAGCAAUGUUAGAAGCUCCUUCCCCAAAUUACCCUCUUCUUUAUGGACCAUUAAGCCAGCAGAAAACACUAAUUAAAUGAUCAUUAGCUUGAGGAUGA